UUCUUUGGAGAGUUUGAUCCUGGCUCAGGACGAACGCUGGCGGCGUGCCUAAUACAUGCAAGUCGAGCGGACCGAACGAGGGCUUGCUCUUGUUUGGUCAGCGGCGGACGGGUGAGUAACACGUGGGCAACCUGCCCGCAAGACCGGGAUAACUCCGGGAAACCGGAGCUAAUACCGGAUAACACCGAAGACCGCAUGGUCUUCGGUUGAAAGGCGGCCUUU
rnacentral:rRNA from 1 species